CAGCCGCCACGGUAAUACGAAGGGUGCAAGCGUUACUCGGAAUUACUGGGCGUAAAGCGUGCGUAGGUGGUGGUUUAAGUCCGUUGUGAAAGCCCUGGGCUCAACCUGGGAAUUGCAGUGGAUACUGGGUCACUAGAGUGUGGUAGAGGAUAGUGGAAUUUCCGGUGUAGCAGUGAAAUGCGUAGAGAUCGGAAGGAACAUCUGUGGCGAAGGCGACUAUCUGGGCCAACACUGACACUGAGGCACGAAAGCGUGGGGAGCAAACAGGAUUAGAUACCCGCGUAGUCCCUGUCUCUUAUAC
rnacentral:rRNA from 1 species